UCUGCACAUCCUCUCUUUGUCUAUUUCGCUGCCUCUUGCUUCCACCCUGGGAAGUGCACACAGAAUGCCAGUCACGGAGUGGGAGCAAGUGUGAGUUUGGUACUUAGGGCCAGCUCGGGGAAUCCCCAGGUGAGGUUUUCCUAGCUCUUGGCCAGACUUCCUGCUGGAGCCUCGAAGGCAAUUGGCAAGAUCAGUGUCACUUUAAGAUCAGUGUCUCUGAUAUUCUCAUCUCCCUCUCUCCCAAUCUCCCUUCUCGGACUCACAGAAUUCGUACGUUUAUGCUCUGGGUUGUGUGGGAGAGAAGGCCUUCUCUAGCAGUGUCCUGCACAAAUUGGGGAAGCCAGGCGCUCACUUGGUCUCCCUUUUUUUUCUCACGGGAGGAAUACCAGCUUUCUUUUUUUUUCUCUAAAGUGUGCCACCUUCUGGGAGGAAUAAUGCUUGCAACGUUCCUCCCACCCACUCCAAGGCAUCCAAACUCUUCUGGGUUGUUUUUUGUUUUUUCGCGCUGGAAUUUUCCUCCAUAAACCUGAACUUUCACGAAGGCCCUCUUGUCUGCAAAUAUCUGCCCAAGUCUGUGUUUUCCAGGCACCACGAGCAAAAGGGGUUGGAUCUGGUUCACAGGAUCCUGCUGGUUCCACUGGGGUCUAUCUGCCGAUUAUCCAGUUCACAGGUUCCGAGGCAUAUAUCUAAAGCACAGAUUCCAUUUCUCAACCGGCUGUGACCUUGAUCCAUGACCAAGCCCCUUGAGCAGAAUGUUUUCAUAUGAACAAGACCCUUGGUAAACUGUGGUCUGGAAGUAGACGAUUGUCCUGACAUAACAUCAGAAGGUCAGCAGUAGCCUAUCACUCCAUCUCCCUGCCUGCCUACAUCAUCCACCUCAGUUCAUCCCAUCACAUAGGCAUUUUAUCGUCUCAACCAUCACACGAGGAAGGAGACACCACAAGGCCAGGAACGCCAACAGGGGUGAACACAUGCUAACGAGCACACUGUCCAGGCAGUUUUCUUCAUUUCUGUGGCUGAAGGCUCCCUUCUUCCAGCUGGAUGCACCAGGUUGGGCGGGUUGAGAACGCU